rnacentral:rRNA from 1 species
UACAGAGGUCUCAAGCGUUGUUCGGAUUCAUUGGGCGUAAAGGGUGCGUAGGUGGCGCUGUAAGUCGGGUGUGAAAUUUCGGAGCUUAACUCCGAAACUGCAUUCGAUACUGCGGUGCUUGAGGACUGGAGAGGAGACUGGAAUUCAUGGUGUAGCAGUGAAAUGCGUAGAGAUCAUGAGGAAGACCAGUGGCGAAGGCGGGUCUCAGGACAGUUCCUGACACUGAGGCACGAAGGCCAGGGGAGCAAACGGG